rnacentral:rRNA from 1 species
UACGAAGGGGGCUAGCGUUGCUCGGAAUCACUGGGCUUAAAGGGCGCGUAGGCGGUCCGACAAGUCAGGGGUGAAAUCCUGCAGCUUAACUGCAGAAGUGCCUUUGAUACUGUCGGUCUUGAGGGAGAUAGGGGUGUGCGGAACUCACAGUGGAGCGGUGAAAUGCGUUGAUAUUGUGAGGAACGCCGGAGGCGAAAGCGGCGCACUGGAUCUCUUCUGACGCGUGAGGCGCGAAAGCUAGGGGAGCAAACGGGG